AAGUUGUAACAUCCGUUCCCUAUGAUCACCAAAGUUAAGCAACAUUGAGCUUGGUCAGUAGCUAGAUGGGUGACUGCUUGGGAAUGCCAGAUGCUGUAAG